GGAUGGAUCAUUAACAAAGAUCUAAUCUACGUUCUGUGAACUGUUUUGACCAACAGUCAGCGGGAAUGACUCGUUACGGUAGCGGCAACGUUACGGUAGCGAUCCGACCGCUGGCUGUACAACUACUACACGUAUUAAACCCAGACUAAUGUAAUAUAGUUGCUUGAACAUAAACAACUUUUAGCAAUGGAUCUCUUGGCUCUCGCAACGAUGAAGAACGCAGCGAAUUGCGAUAAGUAGUGUGACUUGCAGAUACCGUGAAUCAUCAAAUCUUUGAACGCACAUUGCACUGACUGGAAUUCCGGUCAGUAUGCCUGUUUGAGUAUCAGUAACCACUCUCCUACUCACUCUUUACUGAGUGGUAACGAGGACUUGGGUCUCUGUCUCGCAAGAGACGCGACUUUAAAUGCAUCUGCCGGUAAGCUACUGUUCCGACUGCUAACUGACAGGGUCAAUGGGCUUUGCCUAUCACUGUCUGGGGAUCAGUCGCGCUACAGUAGCCGUUUCCGGUAACAACCACUCGAUACUACAGUAGCCUCGCGCUACCGUGACUUUGAUCUCAAAUCAGGCAAGACUACCCGCUGAACUUAAGCAUAUUAAUAAGCGGAGGAAAAGAAACUAACAAGGAUUCCCCUAGUAAUGGCGAAUGAAGCGGGAACAGCUCAAAUUUAAAAUCUCUUCGGAGAAUUGUAGUUUAAAGAAGUGCUUUCGUAGGCAGCCUGGGUAAAAGUCCCUUGGAACAGGGCAUCAAAGAGGGUGAGAAUCCCGUAUUUGAUCCAGGUACUGUCUCACUGUGAUGCAUCUUCAAAGAGUCGGGUUGUUUGGGAAUGCAACUCCAAGUGGGUGGUAUAUUCCAUCUAAAGCUAAAUAUAGGCGAGAGACCGAUAGCGAACAAGUACCGUGAGGGAAAGAUGAAAAGAACUUUGAAAAGAGAGUUAAACAGUACGUGAAAUUGCUAAAAGGGAAACGUUUGAAAUCAGUGUUGGCCGCUUGAAAUCAGCCAGUCAGCAAUGGCUGGUGCACUUUCCUGUGGUCAGGUCAACAUCGGUUUUGAGUGCGGUAAAUUAGAGUAGGAAGGUGACUCCCUCGGGAGUGUUAUAGCCUGCUUGACUGCCGUGCUUGAGACUGAGGCUUGCAGUACAUGCCCUUGGGCAGGCGUUCGCGCACUAAUGUACUCUGGAUGUUGACGAAAUGGUUUUAAAUGACCCGUCUUGAAACACGGACCAAGGAGUCUAACACAUAUGCGAGUGUUUGGGUGGUAAACUCAUACGCGGAAUGAAAGUAAACGUAGGUGGGAUCCUUUUGGGUGCACCAUCGACCGGUCUGGACUAUUAAUGAUAGAUCUGAGUAAGAGCAUAUUUGUUAGGACCCGAAAGAUGGUGAACUAUGCCUGAAUAGGGUGAAGUCAGAGGAAACUCUGAUGGAGGCUCGUAGCGGUUCUGACGUGCAAAUCGAUCGUCAAAUUUGGGCAUAGGGGCGAAAGACUAAUCGAACCAUCUAGUAGCUGGUUCCCUC
rnacentral:misc_RNA from 1 species